UCAAGCUACAAAGGGCGCAUGGUGAAUGCCUUGGCAUCAGGAGCCGAUGAAGGACGUGAUAAGCUGCGAUAAGCUUCGGGUAGGCGCACAUAGCCAGUGAUCCGGAGAUUUCCGAAUGAGGGAACUCACAUGGGAAACCCCAUGUACCGUAUAGUGAAUACAUAGCUAUACGGAGGUAAACCUAGGGAACUGAAACAUCUAAGUACCUAGAGGAAGAGAAAGAAAAAUCGAUUUUCUGAGUAGCGGCGAGCGAAAGGGAAAGAGCCCAAACCAGUGACUUGUCACUGGGGUUGCGGACAGAACAUUAACGAGAAGAUGUUGUUAACCGAACAUAACUGGAAAGUUAGACCGUAGGAGGUAAUAGUCCUGUAGGUGAAAGCGACAUUAAUCAAGUUCUGAUCCAGAGUACCACGAGACACGUGAAACCUUGUGGGAAGCAGGGAGGACCACCUCCCAAGGCUAAAUACUACCUGAUGACCGAUAGUGAAGCAGUACCGUGAGGGAAAGGUGAAAAGAACCCCGGGAGGGGAGUGAAAUAGAACCUGAAACCGUGUGCCUACAACCGGUCAAAGCCCCUUAUGAGGGUGAUGACGUGCUUUUUGUAGAACGAGCCAACGAGUUACGGUAUGUAGCAAGGUUAAGUACUUAAGGUACGGAGCCGAAGGGAAACCGAGUCUUAAUAGGGCGACUAGUUGCAUGCCGUAGACCCGAAACCGGGUGACCUAUCCAUGGCCAGGUUGAAGCGAGGGUAAAACCUCGUGGAGGACCGAACCACGUUGCUGUUGAAAAAGCAUGGGAUGAGCUGUGGAUAGCGGAGAAAUUCCAAUCGAACUCGGAGAUAGCUGGUUCUCCCCGAAAUAGCUUUAGGGCUAGCGUCGGAUAUGUGUAGUGGAGGUAGAGCACUGAAUGGGCUAGGGGGCAUAUCGCUUACCGAACCUUAUCAAACUCCGAAUGCCAUAUACAUUUAGUCCGGCAGUCAGACUACGAAUGAUAAGAUCCGUGGUCAAAAGGGAAACAGCCCAGAUCGUCAGCUAAGGUCCCAAAGUGUAAGUUAAGUGGAAAAGGAUGUGGGAUUUCUAAGACAACUAGGAUGUUGGCUUAGAAGCAGCCACUCAUUUAAAGAGUGCGUAAUAGCUCACUAGUCGAGAGAUCCUGCGCCGAAAAUGUCCGGGGCUAAAACUUACCACCGAAGCUACGGGCUUGCGUAAGCAAGCGGUAGGGGAGCGUCGUAAUCGGGCUGAAGUCGUACCGUAAGGAGCGGUGGACUGAUUACGAGUGAGAAUGUUGGCAUUAGUAGCGAGAUGUAGGUGAGAAUCCUACAGGCCGAAUAUCUAAGGUUUCCUCAGGAAGGCUCGUCCGCUGAGGGUUAGUCGGGACCUAAGCCGAGGCCGAAAGGCGUAGGCGAUGGACAACAGGUUGAUAUUCCUGUACCACUACCAUCGUUAUUAUCGAGGGUGUGACGGAGAAGGAUAGUGUGUGCUAGCGAUUGGAAAUGCUAGUCUAAGCGUUUAGGCAGUUACGGUAGGCAAAUCCGCUGUAACGUUAAUGCUGAGGCGUGAUGGGGAAGGCCCUUGAGGCUGAAGUACAUGAUUCCAUGCUUCCAAGAAAAGCAUCUAGAGAGAGAAGUAGUGCCCGUACCGCAAACCGACACAGGUAGAUGAGGAGAGAAUCCUAAGGCCGGCGGAAGAAUUGCAGUUAAGGAACUAGGCAAAUUGACCCCGUAAGUUAGCGAGAAGGGGUGCCUGCGAGAGCAGGCCGCAGAGAAUAGGCCCAAGCAACUGUUUAGCAAAAACACAGGUCUCUGCUAAAGCGCAAGCUGAUGUAUAGGGGCUGACGCCUGCCCGGUGCUGGAAGGUUAAGGGGAACACUUAGCGCAAGCGAAGGUGUGAACUUAAGCCCCAGUAAACGGCGGCCGUAACUAUAACGGUCCUAAGGUAGCGAAAUUCCUUGUCAGGUAAGUUCUG
rnacentral:rRNA from 1 species